rnacentral:rRNA from 1 species
GACGAACGCUGGCGGCGUGCUUAACACAUGCAAGUCGAACGAUGAAGCCGGAGCUUGCUCUGGUGAAUUAGUGGCGAACGGGUGAGUAACACGUGAGUAACCUGCCCUUGACUCUGGGAUAACUGCGGGAAACUGUAGCUAAUACCGGAUACGACCCUCGGAGGCAUCUCCUGGGGGUGGAAAGAAUUUCGGUCAAGGAUGGACUCGCGGCCCAUCAGCUAGUUGGUGAGGUAAAGGCUCACCAAGGCGACGACGGGUAGCCGGCCUGAGAGGGUGACCGGCCAAACUGGGACUGAGACACGGCCCAGACUCCUACGGGAGGCAGCAGUAGGGAAUAUUGCACAAUGGGCGAAAGCCUGAUGCAGCAACGCCGCGUGAGGGAUGACGGCCUUCGGGUUGUAAACCUCUUUUAGCAGGGAAGAAGCGAAAGUGACGGUACCUGCAGAAAAAGCACCGGCUAACUACGUGCCAGCCGCCGCCGUAA